rnacentral:rRNA from 1 species
UACGUAGGGGGCAAGCGUUGUUCGGAAUUACUGGGCGUAAAGGGCGCGUAGGCGGCACGACAAGUCGGGAGUGAAAGCCCGGGGCUCAACCCCGGAGGGUCUCUCGAUACUGUCGAGCUAGAGUGCGGAAGAGGCAACCGGAAUUCUCAGUGUAGCGGUGAAAUGCGCAGAUAUCAGGAAGAACACCCGUGGCUAAGGCGGCUCUCUAGUACGGUACUGACGCUGAGACGCGAAAGCGUGGGGAGCGAACAGG